UUGGGGUGGAUAAAGUUUUUCGGUAAAGGAAGUACCAGAGUAGUGACGAAAUGAAGCACAUGUACUCAAUUUUCGCUGAAAGUUUGGAGACGAUUAGAUCGCACAACAACAAGGGGCUAUCCUAUACCCUUGGAGUCAACGAAUAUGCUGAUAUGACAUGGGAAGAAUUCAGCAAAAACAAACUAGGAGCAGCUUCACAAACUCACUGAUGUUGUCAUCCCACUCAUGCAAGAUUGGAGGAAAACAGGAAUUGUGAGCCCAGUCAAGAAUCAAGGAUCUUGUGGAUCCUGCUGGACAUUCAGCACCACUGGAGCUCUUGAGGCUGCUUAUGCCCAGGCUUAUGGGUCCAACGACAUUGCUCGCAUGUAAGAACUCCGCCGCAUUGCGGCGGGUACUAAUUCCUAGUUAUAUACAUAUUUGGGC